GGCUCUGUGGUGUAAUGGAUAGCACAUUGGACUUCUAAUCCAAAGGUUGUGGGUUCAACCCCCACCAGAGUCA
rnacentral:tRNA from 1 species